CUCUAAAAAAUAAACAAAACCAUAACAUUCAAAGAUUAUUGAGACAGUAUCUGAUCGCCUACAAUAAUUUUCAAUACGUUAUCUCAUCGCCAUUCGCCAGUCCAAAUAUUAUGAUCUGUCAAAGUAUGAAGUGUCAAAGUGUGUUUUUUAACAACGUGUACUGCCUUACUGGGCAGUAGUCACCGGUGACUAGGGAAAUGUUUAUGAUGUGGAGAAGCCGUCGACUGUUGAACGUGUUAUUUAAAAUCAGUUAUUACGUAUUAUAAUUAUUAGCGAUUUGGAUCUUUUUCAUGACAAAAUAAAAAGGUAUGUCAGCAACUUUGUGAUACGCAGGAAAUUGCUGCCGGCUUGCUUUUUAUCAAUACAUUUAUUACCAUUCAUGAAACUAUUAGAAUUUCCAUUUAUCGCUUUACCGGUCAUGGCUUCAUUUGCUAAUCGCUGUGUUCCAGUUCGUAUUUGCUCUCGCGUGACAAUUGAUAAAAUAGUCUACUUAGACGUCAACAGUUUGCAAAAUUCUGCUAAAGAGCUUAAGUAUAGAAUGACUAAGAACACUAAUAAGAUUAAUUACAUUAGCUGUGCGCAAGUGUGCGCUGUGUGUGCAUGAAUCGAAAUAUUCGAGUGAAAGUUCAAAAGUUCUGAAUAAAUUAUUUGCUAGAAUUUUCAAGCUUCAUUUAGACAUGCAUUUUGUCCAAUUCAUUGUAUCUAUAUCAUGUGAGCCUAAUAACUGAAGAAGUUUUUCAGAAAAACAGUUACAUAACCAGUUACAUAUUGUCCACUAUGCUCCUCAAUGCUGUCAUAUGGUUCUUCAAUAUCUACCUAAAAUACAUAUUGUCCUGUGGAAUGGUUCUGCAGUGCAUGCUUUUAAUUGAGGACACUUUAAACACCUGGAAUUUAAUAUCUGGACAGAAAUUAACUGAAAUUUUGAAAUCAUGAAAAAUCUGGACUGUACUAAAUUGGACUAUAAUAAUUUGGGAUUGAACCAUCUGCCUUUGAGUACUGUAGUUAGUUUAAUAAUGACCUUAAAUGCAGCUCUCAAAGGCUAUUGGUUCUGUCCUAUUUGUAUAACAGACAAAAAAAACAAACAACACAUCUUAAAAACAAAAUUGGAAACGACGAGAUGCCUUACACUCUAUGAUUGGUAGAGAUGACGUACGUGGAAGCUCAGUGUCACAUAUGAAGUCGACAUUCAAAGCUGAAGUUCUGGUGUUGGCAGACUUUAGUCCUCACACCAAAAUGGUAAACAAACGUGUGUAUAAUAAAUAAUAAUACAAUAAUUCAAUGGUUUCUAUCAAUUCCCUUGGAAGCUUAUUGAACCAAAUAACAAGAUUAUUUACAAAUUGAUUGAGUAUUAUAAAAAUAAUUUUAAAUAAUUUGAAUAAACAUUUUGUAAAUAG